CACUAACACAUGCAAGUCGAGCGGAAACGAGUUAUCUGAACCUUCGGGGAACGAUAACGGCGUCGAGCGGCGGACGGGUGAGUAAUGCCUAGGAAAUUGCCCUGAUGUGGGGGAUAACCAUUGGAAACGAUGGCUAAUACCGCAUGAUGCCUACGGGCCAAAGAGGGGGACCUUCGGGCCUCUCGCGUCAGGAUAUGCCUAGGUGGGAUUAGCUAGUUGGUGAGGUAAGGGCUCACCAAGGCGACGAUCCCUAGCUGGUCUGAGAGGAUGAUCAGCGCACACUGGAACUGAGACACGGUCCAGACUCCUACGGGAGGCAGCAGUGGGGAAUAUUGCACAAUGGGCGCAAGCCUGAUGCAGCCAUGCCGCGUGUAUGAAGAAGGCCUUCGGGUUGUAAAGUACUUUCAGUCGUGAGGAAGGCGGGGUCUGUUAAUAGCGCCGUUGUUUGACGUUAGCCGCAGAAGAAGCCCCGGCUAACUCCGUGCCAGCAGCCGCGGUAAUACGGAGGGCGCGAGCGUUAAUCGGAAUUACUGGGCGUAAAGCGCAUGCAGGUGGUUUGUUAAGUCAGAUGUGAAAGCCCGGGGCUCAACCUCGGAAUAGCAUUUGAAACUGGCAGACUAGAGUACUGUAGAGGGGGGUAGAAUUUCAGGUGUAGCGGUGAAAUGCGUAGAGAUCUGAAGGAAUACCGGUGGCGAAGGCGGCCCCCUGGACAGAUACUGACA
rnacentral:rRNA from 1 species